rnacentral:rRNA from 1 species
AGCAGCCGCGGUAAUUCCAGCUCCAAUAGCGUAUAUUAAAGUUGUUGCAGUUAAAAAGCUCGUAGUUGAAUUUCGGGAUCAAAUUGUCGGUCGUGCCUCGGUACGCACUGGUAUUAUUGGUUCCUACCUUCUGAAGAACCGCGAUGUCAUUAAUUUGGUGUCGUGGGGAAUCAGGACUGUUACUUUGAAAAAAUUAGAGUGUUUAAAGCAGGCUUACGCUUGAAUACAUUAGCAUGGAAUAAUGAAAUAGGACGUUUGAUUCUAUUUUGUUGGUUUCUAGGAUUGACGUAAUGAUUAAUAGGGAUAGUUGGGGGCAUUAGUAUUCAAUUGUCAGAGGUGAAAUUCUUGGAUUUAUUGAAGACUAACUACUGCGAAAGCAUUUGCCAAGGAUGUUUUCAUUAAUCAAGAACGAAAGUUAGGGGAUCGAAGACGAUCAGAUACCGUCGUAGU